AGGCUGCGAGGAGCACUGCAUGCUGGGAAGUGUAGUUUCAACAGGCCACAUCGGCGCACUGGGGGCGUACGCAGCCAUGGUGGACCGCAGUGUCGGAAGCGGGCGGUGGGUGCGGUCAUGGUGUCCCCCUGGUCACUAAGAAGGCUCCCAACGUGUGUUCACUGCUGGUGUGAGGACAUGGCACUGCUGGGCCUCAAGAGCUCCCAUCCUUGUCACAUUCAUGCUGAGAUGAAAUGGGGACGGGGAGAGGCAUUUCCCAUCUUGCUCUGGCUAGGGACACAAGCAGGGACACCGCCUGCAUAACCCUCCCCUUCCUCACCUGCUGCCCCCUCCACUUACUAACAUGUCUGCUAGCGAUGGGGCAGUAAUGUCACUGGGUUCAUAAAGAAGCAAUUUUAACAAGGCUAUUAGGACUGUCACUGUUUUGUGCAGGGUGAUACCAAAGUCCCUUAAGUGCAAGUGCCAGGCCAGUAAUCAAGUUUCACACACAAAGUAACUGCUCUGGCUCGAGGGCCAAGCUGGAUGAAGUUACACAAACAAGCUGUUUCAGUGCAAGUACCAAGCUGGGUAAAGAUACACAGGACACUCCCAUGUGAGCUGCAAGUUGAAGUUCCACACCAGUCACUUCUAUGAACCAUGGCCCCAGCCCCAGCUCUGGGGAGCCAUGGAUGGUGUAAUGAGGGGUGCGACCCUGAAAAGUUUGGGGAUCACAGUCAUAAACUAAGCAGGAAAACUCCUCAAAUACAGUUUGGGAACUCUGUGAAGUGCAUGAACUCACAGG